UACGGAGGAGGCAAGCGUUAUCCGGAAUUAUUGGGCGUAAAGCGUCCGCAGGUGGCGAUUCAAGUCUGCGGUCAAAGACUGGGGCUUAACCCUGGAAAGGCCGUGGAAACUGAAUAGCUAGAGUGCAGUAGGGGUAGAGGGAAUUCCCGGUGUAGCGGUGAAAUGCGUAGAUAUCUGGAGGAACACCGGUGGCGAAGGCGGCAUCCUGGACCGGUAUUGACGCUGAGGAGCGAAAGCCAGGGGAGCAAACGGG
rnacentral:rRNA from 1 species